GACUAUUUAAUCUUUAGUGUUGUGUUAACAUUGUUCACCUGGGUUUUGGGCAAUAAUGCCUGAAGUAUAUGUGGGCCACAAGGAAUUCAAACUUGGCUUUCAAACUCCAUCACCGAAAGAGCAACAGACCAGAGGCAACACAUUCUAUCACUAAAAUGUGUCUUCAGUUAUUCUUCCCGUCCAAAGGCUGAGCAUAAUGCUAUGCAUGUAACAUUGAUGGGAAUAGGAAAAUGAUAGACCAUCAAAUACUGAAUUUCAUGCUGAAAGGAUCUGCCAUUGUUCCUGCUGAGAAGCCAACUAGACCAUGUUGAUGUGGCCAGUCCCUCUGCUGCUGUCUGGGUCCUUGUUAUGUGUCCUGGCAUAGAAGGAGUCAUAAUGAGAUGGAUGAGUUGAUACAAUCAAUCAAUCUUGCCUCUUUCCACCAUACUACUUCAGGCUAGACCCAUGCUUAUGGGGCACUAAGUAAAGGGAAAUUUUGGUUACAUUGUAUUAAAUUUUUCUUUGACUAAUUACUUUUCAGAAUAAAGAUUUUGUUCCUU